UGGGGAAUAUUGGACAAUGGGCGCAAGCCUGAUCCAGCCAUGCCGCGUGUGUGAAGAAGGCCUUUUGGUUGUAAAGCACUUUAAGCGAGGAGGAGGCUACUUGGAUUAAUACUCUAAGAUAGUGGACGUUACUCUCAGAAUAAGCACCGGCUAACUCUGUGCCAGCAGCCGCGGUAAUACAGAGGGUGCGAGCGUUAAUCGGAUUUACUGGGCGUAAAGCGUGCGUAGGCGGCUUCUUAAGUCGGAUGUGAAAUCCCUGAGCUUAACUUAGGAAUUGCAUUCGAUACUGGGAAGCUAGAGUAUGGGAGAGGAUGGUAGAAUUCCAGGUGUAGCGGUGAAAUGCGUAGAGAUCUGGAGGAAUACCGAUGGCGAAGGCAGCCAUCUGGCCUAAUACUGACGCUGAGGUACGAAAGCAUGGGGAGCAAACAGG
rnacentral:rRNA from 1 species